UACUCAGAAGGCUUGAGGAGAUAGCAAAAUAAUUAACUAAAUGUGGGUAGGUUCACCAUUCAGACGUAGCACGAGGCAAGGCUCAAGGAACGACUGAACCUCUGCUGGACGGAAAAUUGGAGAAUGGAGGCACACGGUUCAGAUAUCAUGGAAUGUGUAUAGUCAGAGUGUAAGCGCGGUGGAGGCCAUCGUCUCAAGAAUAUACUCAUUGUACGUAAUUUAUUUUCUUGUGCUUUGCUUGAAACCGACCAUGUACAAAGUGUUGAAAGAGUGGGGACGGCGUAUGCUGCAUGUUCAUGCAUCAAAAUCGCCAUGUCGAUGUAACCUUGGUCUGAUCUGAGUGUUAUAUCAGAUAUGAUUGGUAGGAGCAUUUGCUGUGCAGCUUGUGAUGUUCCCGGUGCAUGUGCGGUUGUUCUACUUGUACGCACUGACAAGGGCCGGCAGGGAGUGAUUCUCUCCAAGGGAAUUAUGCCCAGCGUUGCCUGAUUUCGGUCUCUGCACAGUCAUGCUGUCCUUAACAGUGGCUAGAUUCCGAAAUAGUAAGAAAUUAAGAUUCGGAACUUUUGGUUGUAGCUAGAUUGCUCAGCGGCAUGGCCUCAAAAACAGGUCACCAUCCACCACCUUCUCUUUCGCCGACACCAAAAGCGUAGCGUCCGUAACACACGGGCCUACAGUCUGCUGAUUUAUUUCGUAACCUGCAAAUGAAUCGCCUAUUCACUAUCCCACGUCAACAAAUGAUCAUCCUGUGCUAGCUUAAGCUUACCAAACGAUCUUCGGCUUGACGCCAGAAAAACUUACUGAUCAUCUCGAGUCUCCUUGUCCCUGAAUUAUCGUAAUGAGACGGAACAUGAAAGGCAUGUGUCAUGGCCUCCGCUGGCCGAGUGAUUAUCAGGUGGGUGAGGCCUUGGUUUGUGCCACCGGUUAGCCGCGGCGUCUCUCUCGCAGCGCAGGGAAAGCGGCAGCACGUGAAGCGCCAACGAACCCACCGAGAAAACUUGGAGCAAGCCUCCAAGCCUCCAAGCCGGGACCGCCUCUCGUCGUCCUCCAACUCCGCGGCCCCCUAAUGGUAGAUCUUGUGGGCACGUACAUACGUCCGUAGGCCGUAGCGUAGAUCAAAUGCCCCUGCGCGCGCUCAGGCCGGCCGGCCGGUCCGGUCCGGUGCACGGACGCCUGCGCUCGCCGUGCCGUAUCAUCAAUUUGCUAAUGCACAUGUCCCUUGGUCACAAAUCUUACGAUGUGUACUGUCGACGCGUUUUUACUGCCUCUGGCCCGUUGCCGACGCCGACGCCGAUGCCAUGGCCGUGCGCCGUGGUCCUCGCCCGUCCAUUCGCGGCUACUACAGUUGUGCGCGCCGUCCGUCGUGUAGCGUCUUGUGGGCAUGCGGCGUGCACCGUGUUUAACUUGGUAAGCUAAGCCGCACACGGCGAAGUGUUCGGGUCGGUGGGAGGCGGGUCACCGUACCUACCUAUGCGUCGACAUGUACCCGGUGUACGUACGUGCCGGGCCGCGACGGCGAUGGCUGGGGAGAGGAGAUGGUGGUGGAUUGGUGGUGGCGGUGGUUGCGCGUGGCUGGCGCGGCGGAGUAGGAGUGGUAGGGCGUCGGGGCGGUACCACGCGGAUUGGGUGCGCGUGCACGGCGCCGAGCGCAGGGGGCUGCGUGGCCGGAUGAUAGAUGCGUCGCACGCAGGCGCAGGCAUGUGGGCGUCAUGUGGUAGGGAGUUGGCUGUGGGUGCUACUACUGGGUGAGAUAAGGCUCUGAUAAGAUGUGAUUUGGCUACUGCCGCUCGCGAUUCGCUGCUGCGCUGUCUACUCAUUGCGAGAGUUGGUGCUUGUCACUGAAUGUGAAUGGUACCGUACCGGAGUUAAAUCAAGUGAAAGCAGCAAGUACCACUGCCGGUGCCGGGGUUUAUUUAUGUUGGGUUGCACUGCGGCGCUGCAAUCAUCGCUCUUCCGUGCGGCUUCAUUCGUUCCUUUGCUGGGGCCGGGGGAAACGGGUUGGCCUUGGCCGUCGCCGGCCGAAUGCAAUAUGGCAUCGCGACCCAAAGCUUUUGCUGCGGUAUUGCCGACUUGCAAGUUAAGUUUUUUUUUUUAAUGAACGAGCAAGCUCGGUUGAGAUCCUUGCCUUUUCAACCUUGAACAGCGGUAUUUGUUUUGAUAGAGUAUUUUUCAUUAAUUCAUAUUGAAACACAAGCAGAUGUACAAAAUACAACGAGCACACAGCCAGCCACUACACGACUAGGAUGCACACAACCAAUACACACACAAAGAUAUUCAUCACAAGAUCAAAACUAUGCCUAGGUCAAAUGGAAAAGAAAGAGAAAAGAAAAGGAGAAAGGACUUCGCCGAAGCAGUAGAAACAACCAUUGAUGUGGCAUGCCCUACUGCAAACAUGACUAGUACACAAGUCAUGGUGAGUACGUCGGUCAAUGACAAGCGGUUGCAGGCAACUUCGGCAGUCGUCGACAAAGGGGUGCGAACGGAGGAUAUUACGAAUGAGGCAGCGACAAUGCAUGUGGACGAGGCGGAUGUCGGAAAGAAAGUUGUUGAUGUGAGUUGUAAUUAUGUAAGGACAUGAGGAUUAUAUUGUAAAAGAACAAAAAUCUAAAUGAAGGGAGGUGAGAAGGGGAUCGGUAGAAGACCCCAGAUUUUUCCCCAAUGUCUCCUCUCCUUCAUGAACCCUAGUUCACAAAUCCAUGAGUGACAAGAUGGUAUCAGGGCGGGACGAAUCCUGUGUGGUUCUCCUGUGAUUUCGAUUGAUUUUGGUCGUCGGUGCGGUGCGGUGCUGUGUCGCUCCUAUUGUUGGAGGUGCUUCUGCUGCUGGCUUUGUUGUAGGUGUCGGGAAGCGACCUCGAUUCUGCCUGAAUCAAGUACAACCGGGGAGGCUCCUGCAGCUACCAGUUGAAUUGAAUAGAGCCUGGGCGUCUAGACUCCCUCCCCCGCUACAAGCUAAUUUUUUCUCUCCUGCCAUCCGGCGCCGUGAGCAGGUCUAGUUCGUCCCCAACUUGACUCUCGGACUCCUUGAGCUUCUGUGUUUUUUAUUGCUUUAGAAGAAGAAUCAGUGUUGCCUGGAGCUGCUUUGGUGGUCAGCUGGCCGGAUUAAAUAAUACUAUUUGCUAGUGUUGCAAUCCGAAGUAAUUGCCGUACUCUUUGGCACAUUGUUGAGCCGUACUAGUUGGUUCCUCUUUGUGCUGCACGUAUUUGAUAAGAAGAACCAAGUACUAGUGUUGGAAUAUAUUCUUGCUCACUGAACCAUGGGAGAUCCAAGUACAGAAAAACAGGGGAUUCUAGUGUUGAUAAGAUGUAUGAAAUAUUUAGCAAACUGCUUAAGCACCAGCAGGCUGCUGAGCCAGUUAAGCAUACACUUGAGCCAAAUCCAGUCAAACUAUCAGGACCUGGUGACUACAUCAGUUGGGCACGCCAUGCCAAAUUGAUUUUGAGCGCCAAUGAGUAUGAUUAUUUACUUGUUGGGAGUGAAGAAAGUUUGGAGAAAGGCGGUGCGGGCAGGAAACAAAUCAAUGAUAAAGUACUAGUAUGGCUGUUGGAAAGUAUGGAACCAAAAAUAAGAGAACAAGUGGAAGGCAUGGACACUGUUUGUGAGGUCCGGUCAUCUUUGAAGAAACAAUUUGCAGGGAAAACAAAUAAAAUGCAAGCCACCCAUAUCAUGCAUGAGUUAACUAAUUUGAAGCAGCGCUCAAGAUCUGUAACAGAGUAUCCAGGUGAAGUAAAAAAAUUAUAUAGAAACUUACAUUAUCAUCACCCUUUUGAACCUGUUGACAAGGAUGACUUGGCAAUUCAUCAUGUGUGGUUUGAGUCGUUUGUGAGCAAGCUCUUUCUUGAUGGCCUAGACCAGGAACUAAACCUCCGUCGUCAAUUGAUAUUUGGAAUGCCUGAGUGGCCUAGUCUUGAUGAUAUUAUUUCUAGCAUGAUUGAGGAGGAGACUCGUUUGGCACAACCGAAGGAGGAUGGUCAGGAGCGUGCAGAUGCUCGUGCUGCAUUAUCCAUACAACCUCGCCGUGCUACAAAUUCCUUUGGUAAGGUGGAUAAAAGCAAAUUGCUUUGUGACCAUUGCAAGAGAAAAGGACACACCAAGGAUGAGUGUUUUGAGUUGCAUGGUUAUCCACCUUGGUGGGAUAAAGGGAGAUCUCAGCUAGGGGGAGCUCGGGGUUCAAACAAAAGACAAGCUAAUUACAAUGCAUCUGCAAGGGAACUACAUGUGGUAGAUAUGCAAGCUCUUGAGGAUUUCAAAUCCAAGCUCAAAUUCUCUGAAGGCUCAUCUUCGUCCCAAGGUUCCUCCAAAGUUGAUUCUAGCUUUAAUGCCAUCACCCAAGGUAUGGAAUCCCACCAAGCCCAGUCAAAACCAUGGAUAAUUGAUACUGGAGCUACUAACCACAUGACAGGUGCCUCAAACUUGUUUACUUCAGGCACCUUCCAGUCCAGGCCAGCCAGGGUCCCGGCGACCCUCCUACUCCUACUCCUACCCCUCCCAACUGCCGCUGCCACUGUGCUCACCGAUUCUCAACGGAGGAAAUGGCCAUGCACAGCACACCACACCGCAGUGCACCUACCUAGGGUCGGUCCUCUACCUACCAACCCCCCCACUUUAACGCUAAUCUCCAACAGAAAAAAGGCCAANNNNNNNNNNNNNNNNNNNNNNNNNNNNNNNNNNNNNNNNNNNNNNNNNNNNNNNNNNNNNNNNNNNNNNNNNNNNNNNNNNNNNNNNNNNNNNNNNNNNCGAUUCUCAACGGAGGAAAUGGCCAUGCACAGCACACCACACCGCAGUGCACCUACCUAGGGUCGGUCCUCUACCUACCAACCCCCCCACUUUAACGCUAAUCUCCAACAGAAAAAAGGCCAAAGGCGACGGAGGCUGGACUCACUGGACUGGAAGCCACCCGGCCGGCCUCCUCCUCCUCCUCCUCAGUAGCCCUCACUCUCCCACACUGCUCACUGGUUGGUCGACGAUGAUAAAAACCUCCACACGAUAGGAAUCUCAAGCCAUCCUCCUCCUCCUCCUCCUCCCGGCAGUUUCCUCCACGGCUCCACCACCCCGAGCCCAAGCCAACCGAGCAAAGCGCACGCCAAAGCGAGGGGCUUUGCCUCGAAUCCUGGGCGAGCCGAGCCACGAGCCCCACCACCACUGCUUUCGCCUUUCCGUUCAUUCCAAGAACCGGCGUACGUACAUGGAGCCGGCGGCGGCGGACGGGGCCUCGGACGAGCCGGUGCACAAGGGGCGGACCAACUCCAUCCUGCUCCCCAUCCUCGCCGUGCUCCUCGCCUACCUGCUCUACCGCUACCUCCGCCCGCGCCUCCGCGGCCUGCGCCUCGACCGCCUCCCGUUCCGCGUCCCGGACUGCCUCCGCCGCCGCGGCAAUGCCACCCGGACCACCCUGCUGCCCUACUUCGCGCCCAUCGCCGACCGCCUCGGCGCGCUGCAGCCCUACCUCGGCCCCAUCGCCGACCGCCUCGGGGUCGGCGGCCCGCACGGCCACGGCGGCGGGUACGGCGGCGCCGACGCGCUCGUCAGGUUCCCCGGCGGCGAGGGCCUGUCGGUGGCCGCCAUCCUCGAGGCGCCUGGGGAGGUGGUGGCCAAGUCGUCGCACAGCACGCUCUACCGCGCCGCCAUGCGCUCCGGGGAGACGGCCGUGCUGCUCCGGUUCGUGCGGCCCGCGUGCGCCGUGGGCGCCGACGAGGCCGCCGCCGCCGCGCGCCGGAUCGGCGCCGUCAGCCACCCGAACCUCGUGCCGCUCCGCGCCGUGUACGUCGGGCCCAGGGGCGAGAAGCUGCUCGUGCACCCUUCUACGCCGCCGGCUCGCUCCACCGAUUCUUGCAAGGUCAGUGCAUGCGCAUCACUCACUCUUGCUUUGGUCGACAUGUUCAUCCUGAUUCGUACAAAUGCACAAUUUUGCUACGUCAAAAGUGCACAUGAGCCCACACCGCAAAUGAAACUUUUUCUUAAUUCUAUUUGUUGCGACGAGAUCACACAUGAAACAUUAUGCAAUUACAUUUCGUCACAAAGGGAAAAGCAUGGCGUGGUUGCGAAGCGAGUUCGAAGACUCCAAAAAGGCAGAUCAGCAGCUUUCACUAAACAAAAAUCAUUUGGGCCAUCAGUUUCAACUUUCUUUUUCGAUAAUCAGUAUCAACUUUUGAGGCAAUGUGGAAUGUGUUACACAGUUUGGUUAUGGUACAGAGUCCAUUUCUUAUUUCCAGUUCAUGUUCGCUGGUUCUUAUUAUUAUUGCCUACUGCGGCCAGGCAGGAAACAUUUCUCUGCUUUGGUUGUUAGCCUGAGACCUCACAUGACACUGUCCUGAAGCAAUGGUCCUGGCCAUUAAUGUUACAUAAGGUCAUUAGAUCACCCUUCACAAUCGUGAUCAUUGGGGCACACAAUCAGUCCAGUGUGUUGCUCAGUUAAAACAGUGGUUAGUGCUGUAUAGUCGUCUGUCAAACAGUAGUGAACAUAGUCAUUGUUGUGCCUUAAUUGAAGGCACAUGCACACAUGUGCAGUCUUUUCAAGCCAAAACCAUGCAUUCAUAAUAUUGGCAUUUGUUGUGAUGGUAGCUGAUGAUAGUCUGCCUGUGUGCUGCCAUUUUCACAGAGGGGAUCGCCGACUCGCAGAGAUGGAGCCUGAUCUGCAAGCUCUCCGUGUGCAUCGCCAAGGGGCUCGACCACCUGCACACGGGGAUGGAGAAGCCGAUCAUCCACGGCAACCUCAAGACGAGCAACAUCCUCCUCGACGCCAGCUACGAGUGCAGGAUCUCGGACUACGGCCUCUACCUCCUGCUCAACACCGGCGGCGCCCACGAGAUGCUGGAGGCGUCGGCGGCGCAGGGGUACAAGGCGCCGGAGCUGGUCAAGAUGAGGGACGCCACCAGGGAGAGCGACGUGUACAGCCUGGGCGUGGUGCUGCUGGAGAUGCUCGCGCAGAAGGAGCCCGCCGGCGACGACGACCGCGCGCCCAGCUCCCGCGACAUCUUCCUGCCGGCGUCGUUCAAGAACCUGGUGCUCGAGAGGAAGAUCUCCGACGCCUUCAGCUCCGACCUCGUCAGGCAGAGCAGGAAGUCGGGGAACGAGAAGAAGCUGAACGCGUUCUUCGAGCUGGCCACGGCGUGCUGCAGCCCUUCGCCGUCGCUCCGGCCCAACACCAAGGAGAUACUCAGAAGGCUUGAGGAGAUAGCAAAAUAAUUAACUAAAUGUGGGUAGGUUCACCAUUCAGACGUAGCACGAGGCAAGGCUCAAGGAACGACUGAACCUCUGCUGGACGGAAAAUUGGAGAAUGGAGGCACACGGUUCAGAUAUCAUGGAAUGUGUAUAGUCAGAGUGUAAGCGCGGUGGAGGCCAUCGUCUCAAGAAUAUACUCAUUGUACGUAAUUUAUUUUCUUGUGCUUUGCUUGAAACCGACCAUGUACAAAGUGUUGAAAGAGUGGGGACGGCGUAUGCUGCAUGUUCAUGCAUCAAAAUCGCCAUGUCGAUGUAACCUUGGUCUGAUCUGAGUGUUAUAUCAGAUAUGAUUGGUAGGAGCAUUUGCUGUGCAGCUUGUGAUGUUCCCGGUGCAUGUGCGGUUGUUCUACUUGUACGCACUGACAAGGGCCGGCAGGGAGUGAUUCUCUCCAAGGGAAUUAUGCCCAGCGUUGCCUGAUUUCGGUCUCUGCACAGUCAUGCUGUCCUUAACAGUGGCU
rnacentral:lncRNA from 1 species